AAGGAAGAGAAAAAAGAAGAACAAUUAGAAGAAGAAAGAAGACUUAUGUAUGUUGCUAUUACAAGAGCUGAAGAAAAGUUAUGUAUAAGCUCUACUUUAAA
rfam:Clostridium difficile 630 complete genome